rnacentral:rRNA from 1 species
CAGUCGCCGCGGUAAUACCGAGGUCUCAAGCGUUGUUCGGAUUCAUUGGGCGUAAAGGGUGCGUAGGUGGCGGUGUAAGUCUAACGUGAAAUCUCGGGGCUCAACCUCGAAAUUGCGUCGGAUACUGCAUUGCUAGAGGAUUGUAGAGGAGAGUGGAAUUCAUGGUGUAGCAGUGAAAUGCGUAGAUAUCAUGAGGAAGACCAGUUGCGAAGGCGACUCUCUGGGCAAUUCCUGACACUGUGGCACGAAGGCUAGGGGAGCAAACGGGAUUAGAGACCCCCGUAGUCCCUGUCUCUUAUAC